rnacentral:lncRNA from 1 species
GAUCUAACUAACUGGACCUGAUGUUCUAGCAUGUGACCUCCUUUGGAAGGGAGAGCAUUGCAGAGGGCUGGCUCUCGGGCACGACAAAGCCAUUGCACGGUUUUGGUUUUGGCUGAUCCAUCUUCCUGCCUCAGCUGCCAGAUCCACUCCCAAGGCAGUGAAAUGCUUUGGAAGGAAAUCGGAUUGCAAUUUAAUUGAUGGCCUGGGCGAUGUGCUACAGUCAUUAGACUGCCCUGAAAAGCCAGCCGGUUGUGUACAGAGGCAAUGUAGCUUUGUUUGGAUAAGACCACGUGUGCACUCCACUCUCCUCCGGCCCCCUCCACUCCAGCAAACCCUCCAGCUCUGCCUCCUGCCUCGCACUCUCUCCAGCCACUGUCCCUGCUGUCUUUCGGGAAAAUCUCUCUUCUCUGACCCUGCCAUUAGGCAGCCUUAAAUUCCUCCACCAUCUGUGCUGCAGUCCCCAGGUGCCCUAUUCUGCAGGCCACUGGAGAACGUGCCUCCCAAGAAAGCUUCCAGAUUCUUCCCCUGUGUCUUGACUGCAAUGCCUGCCUUCCUGUCAAGGCUCUGACAAGUCCUGUGGCCAAAAGAAAAUAUACUCUGUGUGAUUGGACUCCCUCCCUAGUCAUUCUCAUGUUUUCUCCCCAUUCUUCUCUUUGGUCACAUCUGACUUAUUAACAUUUUGUAAAAUGGCAUUUCCCAGAAUUCCAGUUUAAUCCAGAUUUGGCUAACAUCUUUAGGUUGGAUUUCAAGGCUCUGCAUGGAGAGGUGUUGACUGUCCUAUUUUCCAGCCUACCAUGGAUUAGUCGCUCUUUCUUUUUUCCUCUCUGUCUCUCUCUGUGUCUCUCAGUUUAUGUCCGUCUUUUGCCUCUCUAUCCCAGUCUCUUAGUCUCUGUCUCCCUGUCUAUCUUUUUCAUUCUCUUUUCUCUGUCUCUCUCUCUCUGAUGCUACAUUUUAUUUAUUUAUUUGCUCUAUUCUUAUUCUAUGUGUAUAUGUGUAUUGUAUGUGUGUAUGUGUAUGUGUAUGUGUGUAUGUGUGUAUUGUGUGUAUGUGUGUAUUGUGUGUAUGUGUGUAUGUGUAUGUGUGUAUGUGUGUAUUGUGUGUAUGUGUGUGUGUAUUGUGUGUAUUGUGUGUAUGUGUGUGUGUAUGUGUGUAUUGUGUGUAUGUGUAUGUGUGUACUGUGUAUGUGUGUAUGUGUGUAUGAUAUGGGCGAUACGAAUAAAGUCCUGGGUUUUCUGCAAGAGUGG